UACGUAGGUGGCGAGCGUUGUCCGGAUUUACUGGGCGUAAAGAGCGCGCAGGCGGUCGUUCAAGUCGAGUGUGAAAGCCCCCGGCUCAACUGGGGAGGGUCAUUCGAUACUGAUCGACUUGAAGGCAGGAGAGGGAAGCGGAAUUCCCGGUGUAGUGGUGAAAUGCGUAGAUAUCGGGAGGAACACCAGUGGCGAAGGCGGCUUCCUGGCCUGUUCUUGACGCUGAGGCGCGAAAGCUAGGGGAGCAAACGGG
rnacentral:rRNA from 1 species